GAUGAACGCUGGCUACAGGCUUAACACAUGCAAGUCGAGGGGAAACGACGGGGAAGCUUGCUUCCCCGGGCGUCGACCGGCGCACGGGUGAGUAACGCGUAUCCAACCUGCCUCUGACUGAGGGAUAACCCGUCGAAAGUCGGCCUAAUACCUCAUGGCAUCGUCUGCGGGCAUCCAACGACGAUUAAAGAUUUCAUCGGUCAGGGAUGGGGAUGCGUCUGAUUAGCUUGUUGGCGGGGUAACGGCCCACCAAGGCUACGAUCAGUAGGGGUUCUGAGAGGAAGGUCCCCCACAUUGGAACUGAGACACGGUCCAAACUCCUACGGGAGGCAGCAGUGAGGAAUAUUGGUCAAUGGGCGGGAGCCUGAACCAGCCAAGUAGCGUGCAGGAGGACGGCCCUAUGGGUUGUAAACUGCCUUUAUGCGGGGAUAAAGUGAGGGACGUGUCCUUCAUUGCAGGUACCGCAUGAAUAAGGACCGGCUAAUUCCGUG
rnacentral:rRNA from 1 species